rnacentral:rRNA from 1 species
AUUGAACGCUGGCGGCAUGCCUUACACAUGCAAGUCGAACGGCAGCGGGCCUUCGGGUGCCGGCGAGUGGCGAACGGGUGAGUAAUGCAUCGGAACGUGCCAUUGAGUGGGGGAUAACGUAGCGAAAGUUGCGCUAAUACCGCAUAUUCUGUGAGCAGGAAAGCAGGGGACCGCAAGGCCUUGCGCUCUUUGAGCGGCCGAUGUCAGAUUAGCUAGUUGGUGAGGUAAAGGCUUACCAAGGCGACGAUCUGUAGCGGGUCUGAGAGGAUGAUCCGCCACACUGGAACUGAGACACGGUCCAGACUCCUACGGGAGGCAGCAGUGGGGAAUUUUGGACAAUGGGGGCAACCCUGAUCCAGCCAUGCCGCGUGAGUGAAGAAGGCCUCGG